CCUGGUUGAUCCUGCCAGUAGCAUAUGUGUGUCUCAAAGCUUAAGACAUGCAUGUCUAAGUACAGUGAAACUGCGAAUGGCUCAUUAAAUCAGUUACAGUUCCUUUGGUCACUCGUCUCCCGGUCCUUGGAUCACUGUGGUAAUUCUAUAGCUAAUACAUGCCAACAACCGCUGACCUCUGGAGACACAUGCAUUGAUGAGGCCAAAACCAACCCGGGCCUGCCCACCAGCUUUGGUGAUUCUAGCUAACCCCAAGCUGAUUGCAUGCCCCUGCAGCAGCGGUGACCCAUUCGAACAUCUGCCCUAUCAACUUUCGAUUGUACUGUCUGUGCCUACCAUGGUGACCACACAUGACAGGGAAUCAGGAUUCAAUUCUGUAGAGGGAGCCUGAGAAAUGGCUACCACAUCCAAGGAAGGCAGCAGGCCUGCAAAUUACCCACUCUCUACCUGGGGAGGUAGUGACGAAAAAUAACAAGACAGGACUCUUUUGAGGCCCUGUAAUUGGAAUGAGCACGCUUUAAAUCCUUGAGCAAGGAUCCAUUGGAGGGCAAAUCUGGUGCCAGCAGCUGCAGUAAUUCCAGCUCCAAUAGCAUAUCUUAAAGUUGCUGCAGUUAAAAAGCACAUAGUUGGAACUUGGGAUCAAGUUGGUGGUCCGCCACCUGGCAAGCCACCACCUGUCCCAGCCCCUGCCUUUCGGCACCCCCUGGAUGCUCUUAACUGAGUGUCCCACAGGGCCCAAAGCAUUUACUUUGAGAAAAUUUGAGUGUUCAAAGCAGGCCCGCCGCUGGCACACUGCAGCUAGGAAUAGUGGAGUAGGACUCCGGCUCUAUUUUGAUGGGUUUUGGAAACGGGGCCAUGAUAAAGAGGGAGAGCUGGGGGCAUUCGUAUUGUGCUGCUAGAGGUGAAAUUCUUGGACCGACGCAAGAUGGCCUAGAAUGAAAGCAUUUGACAAGAAUGUUUGCAUUAUUCAUGAAUGGUGUUAUUCCCAUGACCUGCUGGGCAGCUCCUGGGAAACCCAAGACAGAAGGGCACCACCAGGAGUAGAGCCUGAGGCUUAAUUUGACUCAACAUGGGAAACCUCACCCGGCCCAGACACAGACAGGAUUGACAGAUUGAGAGCUCUUUCUCAAUUCCAUGGGUGGUGGUGCAUGGCCGUUCUUAGUUGGUGGAGCAAUUUGUCUGGUUAAUUCUGAUAAUGAACAAGACUCUGGCAUGCUAACUAGUUACGC
rnacentral:rRNA from 1 species